CUGGGCCAGUGUUCACUGGAAUUGCUUCACUUCAGCGGACUCCAGCCUGGUGGAGACUAGUACUGUGAACCCCCAUUUUACAGAUGAGGAAACUGAGGCCCAGAGAAGGGAAGUGGCUGGCCCCAGGUCACCCAGGCAGUGAGUGGCAAACACACUGUCACCCUGAGCCCCGGCCUUUGCCCUCACUCUCCUGGAGGCUGCUUGCCUGCCUGGGGGGGGCUUGGGUGGGUGGCCCCCUCCUCAGGUGGCUCCUCUCAGCAGUCGCCUGGCCAGCGGCCCUGGGGACCUGUGUGCGGCAGCAGGCAGCACGAGGCAGGCUCAUUAGUGGCUCUGAAAUGCCAGGCAGGCACAGCCCGCUGGGCGGCCUCAUCUAUUAUGCAUCUGGUGGGCAGGACCCAGCGGGCACGGGCCAGGGAGCCGGCUGCUGCCUCCUGAGCCCACACCUGCCACCACCUCUGGGCAGCACCUGUCCUGUCACCCUAGCGCAGUUGGAGCCUGGGGCCCACCGGGGACAGAGGCAUGGAUGCGGCCCCGAGCUCCUGCCUGCCCUUCCUCGCAGCCGCUUCUGAGAGGGGCUGGGGAUUUGGUCACUGGGACUGAGGUGGACAGAGGUGGCCUGGAUCUGAGCCGCACAAGCUCCUGACUGCGUGGUCGUCACUGACUGAGCUACAAGUAACCACUGAGCACCUACUGUGUGCCGGGCAUGGUCCAGGUAUCGCCGAGGGAGUGGAAAAUCAGCCAGCCUCAGUGCCUGUCCUCGAGAGCUCAGCGUGGCCAGCACGUCCCUCCCUCGGGCCUCAGUUUGCUCACUGUGACAUGGGGGCGGGUGGGAGAGACCCUCACUAAAUAGACAAGAAACCAAACCUGACGUCGGGCGGGACCUGGAGGAGGGUCAUGGGCUCACAAGAGGCUUCUUCCUGAGUUCCCCGUGGGCUGGGCGGGGCUCCUCAGCACAGUGACCGCUUAGGGCCAGUGCCAUUACGCCCGGGGUUAAGGUCGAGGGGACUGAGGCAGAGGGGCCGGUGGCCUGCUCAGCCUCCAGCAAAGCCGAGAGUGGAGCCUGAGCUGCCUGCUUGGCCCUCAGUGUGGCCACUCAGGAGAGGUGGCAUUGGAACCCAAACCAGCCAUGAGAAGGGCCGGCAGUGUGGGGACAGGGGGUGCAGACAGGAA
rnacentral:lncRNA from 1 species